AAGGACACUGCCGGGGCUUGAGUGUUGGAGGACUUGAGCCUUAGAGUGUUGAAGAUGGGAGUUUGAGAACUAGCUCUGCCAUGAGCUGUGACACAGUGGCCAUUAUCUUGUUGCGCCUUGAGUACAUUAUCCCUAAAAUGGGAUAAUUGCUCUCCUGCCUGUAUUAUGUGAUUAUUGAAGAACUGAGUGAAGAAACAGCUAUUCUAGCAAAUAUUUACUGAGCGCUUAUUUUCCAAAUGUUCUAAUCCUUCACGCAACCCAAACGCUUCUCACAGCAGUCCUGCCGAUUAGAUCCAUGGAUAUUUGAAAUGGCCUUGAAAAAUAUGGGAACUGUAUGGAGCAUCUGGAAAGCAUCUGUGGAAGAAUUACAGCAAAAACUUCUACAAUUCAAGGUUAUCAUUUCUGUCUAGAUAAGAAGUUUCUCUAUCAGGACUAGCUAACUGACUUUUGAUCAAGACAACAGCCUGAUUUCUCAUCUGGACUCCUGGCAGAGCAGCCGCAAACUGUAGGCUGUGUCCACAGAAGUUGAAAACAUCCUGACAGAUGUUGUUAAAGGACUCCAGUAGCAAAGAUCAAAGUCUCCGAAUUUUGCCUUUGGAGAAGGGGGUUUCAUUUCAGACAUCAAAGAAAUCCAACGCAGAAAUGACCAACAGGUUUUCCUACCCCCUCAGGCUGGUGAGCUGUUCCUCUGGGCUUCUAGAGGAUUCUGUAUGACUGCAAUCAUUAUCAAUUUUCAUACUAUUUGCAAUUGUACAUUUCACUUGCCUGGCUUUAGGGACAAAGACUUGAGACUUUGAUCUUGCCUUGUACUAUGGAGCCAAAUGCAGGGCCUUCCAUCCACUCAGUGCUCAGUUUCCAUGUCUAUGUCUAUGUUGGACAUGUCUAUGUCCAAGUCUAUGUCUCAGUUGAGAUUUACUGAAUAAAAUCUGAAUAAUUUUAUGCCAU
rnacentral:lncRNA from 1 species